UACAGAGGGGGCAAGCGUUGUUCGGAAUUACUGGGCGUAAAGGGCUCGUAGGCGGCCAACUAAGUCGGACGUGAAAUCCCUCAGCUUAACUGGGGAACUGCGUCCGAUACUGGAUGGCUUGGAUUUGGGAGAGGGAUGCGGAAUUCCAGGUGUAGCGGUGAAAUGCGUAGAUAUCUGGAGGAACACCGGUGGCGAAGGCGGCAUCCUGGACCAACAUUGACGCUGAGGAGCGAAAGCUAGGGGAGCAAACGGG
rnacentral:rRNA from 1 species